ACUGUGAGUGAGGCAGCAUACCUCGCUUGCCCUCUCUCUCUCUCUCCCUCUCUCUUCUGCUGUAUAUCGCUGAUUUCCCAGGGCAAUCUCUUUAGCCGCAUGCCGUGAUGGCGCUGCCAAUAAACAAACGAGCGUACCGAGUAUCUCGUGCUGCUGCUGCUGUUAUCUGCAGAGGCGUCACCAAGCUAAUCUGCUAGCUGUCAAAAGUCGUAGAAACAAUUGGAAAUGACAACAAAUAUGAAGCAACACAGAGAAACGCGCGCGCACAGUGUACACUGUCCAUGUAAGCUGAGCCAAAGCAAACACGCAAACACACAAGCACACACCCACACAGGCACGCACACACAUGAGGCAGCCAAGUAAAUCUCCAAUUGUGAGCGAAAACUUCCUCAGAAACGGGCAACGAAAACUGCUGACAGUUGCAUAAACAAUAAGGGCUACCAAAAAAAAAAAGAACUACAAAAAACAGACAGUGCGAGAGAGGGAGAGCGCUAGCGAGCGCAGCCAGCAAAUGCGGUCAACAUCAAAAGGAACACACAACAAAGAUGGCAGCGUGAACGAGAGCGGGCGAGACAUGGCAAAUUUAGGAGAAAAAAAAACAGUAAAUGUAACAAGAAACUAGAACUAGAACUAUUACUAGCUCCACACACACACAGACACACGCACGCACACAGAUUGCAAUGCACGGCCAUAAGCGACAUGUGUGUGGAUGAGGUGCGGGUGCGGGGCCGGCUGCACUGCUAAAACAACAAUCUAACAUUUUUUGCGCUUUGACGACAAUUUCCCUCGCGGCACAAAAUGCCAACACCAAAUGCGAAUGUGAAUGCGAAGGCGAACUUAACGAAACAACGGGAGUAACAUACGAAAACAACCAAACCGGCAAGUACAAAUUCAUUUAUGUUUGUAUGUUGCAGUCGGAUGUGACCGACUGCGUUAUACUCAUUACCGUGUUGACUGCAACUAUUUGAAAAGUUUAAAGCGGGCCAAAAUAUUUAAGAGCUGUGUGUAAAUCAAUUUGCCACGCCCCCAGUGAGCUGCCCAUUGAAUUUAAAAAUAUUAAAUGACAGACAGCAGAACGAACGAUCAGCAAUUCAAACAUUGCACAUAACCAAUAUACCCUUUUACAAACAACAAAAAAUGCAACAGUCUAAAAAGAAAGAGCGCGAGUGUGGGUGAGCAGUAGUUGUUGUUGUUGUUGUCGUGCUCUGCUCUCCGCAUUUGCCGUUCGCCUUUUGCCGCAUCACAAAAGCUCGAAAUUGAUUGUGUAAAUAAGAAAACGAAAAUGUCGUUAGUUUACGUUUUCCGCUGACAAGCUUUACGAAACGAAAUAGCACCCAAAAUGUGCAGCAAAGCGGGAAAGCAGCAUAAAAGAAUUGGAUAAAGUGGCGUUGAAAAAAAAAACAGCAGAAGAAGAAACAGAAGAAGAAGCAGCAGCAGCAGACAGUGGCAUGACGAAAUUAAAAAUGGAAUUUGCUCGUUAGUCGCUUGCAGUUUAUUGGCACUGACUUUGAUGCGAAGUAUUUUGGCGAAAAAUUGAUAGCUAAAUGGUGAAUAUUAUAUACAUAUAAAAGCCGCUCUUCGUCCUAGUAAAAGAUGACAGUUAAAUAAUCGUGCCUGUGAAUGUGAACUUUUGGAUUUCAGAUUCGAAUAAAAAGGAACAGAGAGUGACAACAAAUAAAUACCUUGGUCUCAAGAAGAGGCGACGGCUUCCAUAUAGCAGGAGGCUGCUUCAACUGUGGAGGAGGCGGCUUCAACUGUGCAGGAGGCGACUUCGACUGUGGAGGAAACGGCAGCUUUAUAUAGGAGAAGACGGCGACUAUAGACUAUAGAGAACGCGGUCGCCUCAGUUAUGAGGAGGAGACGGCUUCUACUAUUGAGGAGGCGCUUUAGCUAUAAGGAAACGGCAGCUUUAAUAUUGGAGAAGACGGCAUCAACAUAGAGGAGACGGCCGCCUCAGCUAUGAGAAUGCUGCUUUGACUAUUGAGCAGACGGUGGCUUGAGAAAAGGAGUAAUUGGCGGCCUGAGUUAUAAAGGAGGCGUAACGACUUUAAUUUUGAACGAGGUGGAAUCAAUUUCAAAUGUGGUCAUCGAGAAAACUGUGAUGUGUUCAUAUAAAAGGUCGCUUCCCUCCAACUGAUAGAUGACGAUAAAAACAAGCUUGCGUGUGAAUUUACAGCGUGUACAGCAACAUUUUUGCCUGGCGGCGGCGGCGGCGCGUCUUCGUUCAGUUGCCUCAUUUUCAUAUUGCCUGCGCCCGGGCUCAUCAUAAUAUUGCGUCGCACCCUCGGCAAUGGCAGCAGGAUCAGCAGCAGCAGCAGCAGCAGGAGCAGAAGCACCCACAGGCCAUUCUUCAGUGUCAAAGCCAGCGUACACACAUACACACACACACACACACACACACACACACACACACACACACACACACACACACACACACACACUAAAACACUCGCACACACACUUUUAAUGCGUGUCGCUCACAUUUUAUGAGCUGUCGCAAAGUGCGAGAAGGCAAAUGGCAAACAAAAAAAAAAAAAAAAAAAAAAAAAAAAAAAAAAAAAAAAAAAAAAGUAAAAGGAAGUGCGCGUUCAGCCAGCUGUGACCAGCAUCGCAAAUAAAUGAAAAAAGUUCAUCGAAAUCAAGCAGAAGAAUUUUAGCUACGGCAGGCCGAACUUCAAAUACACUAACAGGCAUAUUCAUGAUAUUUUUAAGCUCUAGCAAAACAUUUUUAAAUAGUUCAAGUCCUCGUCUUUCCUCACCUUAUUGACAGCGUAAAUAUUUCUAAAAAUAACUCAAUCAUCAAGCAUUAGUUCCUAUGACAUAAUAUUCCAAUUUGAUUAACAAAAUGCUUGGGAACUUUUAUUGAACUCUUAUUGAUUGAGAUUGACGAAAAAGAAGAGAAAAUGGAACAACUUAUUUUUGGACUAGUCUUAACUUUUCAGAUAGACAUUUCAAUAUAGUAUACGAUACAAUGCCUCACGCAUUUUCAUCUAGUCCAAAACUAAUCAAAUUUUCAAAGCUUGGAAAUAGUUCUAUAGUUCUACGGAUACAUCAAAGCCGAUUGACGGUGUGUAGAAAUAUAUUUUUAAAGGGAUUUAAAGUUGUUUAGAGUUCGCUAAUCUAUCAAACGACUUUCAAUUGUAACAUAUUCAAUCACAUAACUAACACACCCGCUGCAAGUAUGGGCAUAGUGAAUACAAAAUCAAGCAGAAGAGCAACAGCAAUAUUGCGACCAUAGGUAGAAAGUUAUUGGUCAUGUUUGGGCCCCUUCGUCUUUUUUUCCCUGGGUCGGUCUCUUAUUUAAUUAAAUGUCAAACUCUGGCGUUCAGUUGUUUGAUGCGACGGGCAUUUGAUUUGAUUUUCAGAGAUAAAUGAAUGACAGCCAAACAAUUGCGCAAUUUGCUUUCAAGUUGCGAAAUUAUAUCAAACAAAAAAAAAAAAAUAUGUAUAUAUAUAAAUAUGCGUAAUAAAUGCAUGCAAUUUGUUUGUACUCCUUUAAUGAACUGCACGAAAAUAAAGUCAUUCAGCUUUUAAGAACUAAUUGAUUAAUACUAUGCACAUGAAAAUCGUAAUAAAUUGUAGUGAGAGGUGGAGCAUUUUAAUUGGCAGCUUAAUGCAAAAGCUUUCAGCUUAAAGUGUGCUUAACUUUAAGCUUUAACAAGCUUUUAAUACAUGUGCAUACGAGUUUAAAAAUAUGU